GAUGAACGCUGGCGGCGUGCUUAACACAUGCAAGUCGAACGGAAAGGCUCCUGCUUGCAGGGGUACUCGAGUGGCGAACGGGUGAGUAACACGUGGGUGAUCUGCCCUGCACUUCGGGAUAAGCCUGGGAAACUGGGUCUAAUACCGGAUAGGACGAUGGUUUGGAUGCCAUUGUGGAAAGUUUUUCGGUGUGGGAUGAGCUCGCGGCCUAUCAGCUUGUUGGUGGGGUAAUGGCCUACCAAGGCGUCGACGGGUAGCCGGCCUGAGAGGGUGUACGGCCUCAUUGGGACUGAGAUACGGCCCAGACUCCUACGGGAGGCAGCAGUGGGGAAUAUUGCACAAUGGGCGCAAGCCUGAUGCAGCGACGCCGCGUGGGGGAUGACGGCCUUCGGGUUGUAAACUCCUUUCGCUAGGGACGAAGCGCAAGUGACGGUACCUGGAGAAGAAGCACCGGCUAACUACGUG
rnacentral:rRNA from 1 species